AAUCCGUAGUGUAGGCAUUUCUAAAUCAACGUUUUAAAACGUUCCCAAGCCUUAUGAAAACUUUCUUCUUCCAUUUGUCUAAAGACAACGAUUUUUCUUCUUAGUUG
rfam:Gossypium raimondii chromosome 10, whole genome shotgun sequence.